rnacentral:rRNA from 1 species
UACGUAGGUGACAAGCGUUGUCCGGAUUUACUGGGCGUAAAGAGCGCGCCGGCGGUCGAUCAAGUCGAGUGUGAAAGCCCCCGGCUCAACUGGGGAGGGUCAUUCGAUACUGAUCGACUCGAAGGCAGGAGAGGGUAGUGGAAUUCCCGGUGUAGUGGUGAAAUGCGUAGAUAUCGGGAGGAACACCAGUGGCGAAGGCGACUACCUGGCCUGUUCUUGACGCUGAGGCGCGAAAGCUAGGGGAGCAAACGGG